rnacentral:rRNA from 1 species
UGCCGCGUGAAUGAUGAAGGUCGUUAGGAUGUGUAGAAUUCUUUCAGGGGGGACGAUAAUGACGGUACCCGGAGAAGAAGCCCCGGCUAACUUCGUGCCAGCAGCCGCGGUAAUACGAAGGGGGCUAGCGUUGCUCGGAAUUACUGGGCGUAAAGGGAGCGUAGGCGGAUAGUUUAGUCNGAGGUGAAAGCCCAGGGCUCAACCUUGGAAUUGCCUUUGAUACUGGCUAUCUUGAGUACGGAAGAGGUAUGUGGAACUCCGAGUGUAGAGGUGAAAUUCGUAGAUAUUCGGAAGAACACCAGUGGCGAAGGCGACAUACUGGUCCGUUACUGACGCUGAGGCUCGAAAGCGUGGGGAGCAAACAGGAUUAGAUACCCUGGUAGUCCACGCUGUAAACGAUGAGUGCUAGUUGUCGGCAUGCAUGCAUGUCGGUGACGCAGCUAACGCAUUAAGCACUCCGCCUGGGGA